GCGCCGUUGGUUUUAGUGGUAAAAAUAUCUCGUUGCCAACGAGAUGCCCCCGGGUUCGAUUCCCCGGACGGCGCA
rnacentral:tRNA from 1 species